GACUUCAAAUGAAAAAUUCAUCACCAACAAAGUUGUAUAAAUCAUCAAUAUCUAUAACUUUUAUUUUGGUUAUUUAUUCAUCCGACAAAGUGGUAAUAACAUUGUGGAGAUGUGUAAAUUUUGUGAACAAUAUUACUACUAUUUUGUCGGAUGAAUAAAUGACCAAAAUAAAAGUUAUAGAUAUCGAUGAGUUAUACAACUUUGUUGUUGAUGACUUUUUCAGCUGAAAUC
rnacentral:pre_miRNA from 1 species